AUUAUUUGAUUUUUGAGUCUGCAUUCACAGUCACAUAUCUGAUUAGUUAAAAAUAAGUUUUAAUUAAUGUCACUUUUCUUUUUUUUGGAAUUAUAAGACUUUAACUUUAAGACCAAAUUACCCUUUAAAAUUAUUUCCUCUUUCUUUAUACCUAAUAACCUUUCUUCUUUCCUUUGUUACAUAUAUUUAACUUCAUUUUUUUUUUCUUUAUUUUUAACAAUUGUCUGAUUUUUCUUUCUUUCUUUCUUGAUUUUUCUUUCUUUCUUUUCUUGUUCACUUAUAUAUAUAUAUAUAUUCCACCUUGGUGGAUUUUUUAUUAGAUUUUAUGUAAUUUAAUUGAAAUAACAGUACGAGAUUGAGUUUUAAUUGAAGUAAUAUUAUAAAAUUGAGUUUUAGUUAAUAUAAGAAAUAAGAGAAGUAUGGUUUCCCAAUCUAUUCACUGUAUGGUUAACUGCUAUAUAUAUAUAUAUAGAGAGAGAGAGAGAGAGAGAGAAAAUAAAAGAAUUGAAAAAAAAAAAGAAAAAGGAAAGAAACAAUCAAUUCACAUAAUUUUUUUCGAAUUUGCUUAUUUAUCAAGGAAAAAAAAAAAAAAACAAGCAACUGGUAUUACUUUGUUUAACUAUAGUAAUCUGCAUUCCAACACGAUCAACAAUAAUAAGGUAGGUAAGCAAAGAAGAAUAAAAUUUAUAUAUAUAUAUAUAGUACAAGUAGGAUAGAAAAGAAAGAAAAAAUAUAAAAGGAUAAUUUGGUCUUAAAAGUUGAAUUUUAUAGUUCAAAAAAAAAAACAAAGUCAUUAAUUACAAACUUCUGUAAUUGAGUUUUUCAACCAAUCACAUGUGUGAGUCAUUGUGUUUAGCACUCUUUGGCCAAUAAUAAAGAUUGGUCAGUUAUGUUUAAGCCAUUUUUUGGAGAAUCUAAGCAAAAAAAAAAAAAACAGACACCUAGCAAUUUGAAGACAUUUAUAAUUUUGAUGGAUAUGCCAUUGAGGGAAGUUUUAUGACCAAUCUAUCUUUUCAUUUUCUACUUCAUCUAUUGGAUUAAAAGAGAUUAGACAUGUCAUGCAUGAUAAACUCUCUCAUGCAUCUUAAACAAUCACAAUCUUAAUUAUUGUCUAACCAGUUUUAUCUUAUUAGAAAAACAUACAUAUGCUUGUAUAAAUGUUUGUGUGUAUAUAUAUAUAUACUUAUAAUGAUCGGAGCUUUAGCUUCGGACUGUCAGAAAUAUUUUGGGGAAUCUCUCAUUUUCAGAAAUUUUAGCUUAUCGUCGGAAUAUAUGGUGAUUUUUCCGACUAGAUCUCCUUUUGUUUGCUAUGCUUCUGCGACCUUCACCAAUAGAGUUUUUUACCCAUAAACAUAAAUAGCAGAGUUUUGGGGAGAGUUUCUUCACCGGAUUUCAAAUUUCAUAGAGAGAUUUUCUAUUUAAUAUUUCAGAUAUAGUAUAUAUAGCAGAGUUUUGGGGAAGGUCAACUUUCCUUUUGGAUGAUUGGAGCUUCAGCUUCUCGCCGGAUUGGAUGAUUGGAGCUUCAGCUUCUUGCCGAAUGUGGAUUCCUGAUAGCUAUGGAAGAAGUUACAACUGCUGAGGAAUCAUGGGACAUGUGGUAGUCUGGAACCAUUUCACGUGGAAGCUGCUGAAGUUGCCACACCUAGUUAAUGCAUGCAUGGAGCUCUAUAAAUAGAACACUUAGAGCUAGUUUGCAAACCCUGUUCAAAUCACACAGCAAAACAGCACUUUCAAUUCCUUACAUUCAUGUAUCUUUACAUUCAUGUAAUGCAAUUUCAUUAUGUUUAAUUCAAAUCAUGCACUUAUCUUUCUUACUUUCCAAGUCCUGCACUCCAAUUCCUUUACUUUGAAGUCCUGCACUUUCAAUACCACUUUCUUUUCCACUAGCCAUAGUUCAGUUCGAAAGUCCUUUUUCAAGGCAAAAAGAACCCUUGAAGGUGGUAAUUCUAGUCCUUUAUUCAAUCGCCUGAUCCUUGUAAUUUCCUACUGGAUAGUUGUUCGGAUAUCCACUUUGGAAUGACAGCAGUUCCUGGCACGCCCGACAUCCACUCCCACUUUCCAUUCACCUGGAAAGAAGAACUAGCGCUUUUCCGCGAGCCGAACAGUUUCCAAUGCUCCUCACCAUGUUAUCUCCUUGAUAAAGUCCUGCAUCAGAGCUCAUCUAGCUGCAAUCAAGUUAAAGAGGAGUUCAGAUCUUAGAAUUAUCACAAUAGAACAUGACCUCCAAAACCUUUUUGUGCAGUCUUGUUCUUCAUCAUGUGCCUACUCAUGGCUGAUAUCAUAGGCAGGCCUCAAUACUUUUGAGUUUGAAUUGUAUCCAAUGUUUUGGUCUGAGGUAGCUGUGCUCUUGGUAGCUGUGCUUCAUCAUGUUGUAGUUAGUGUCUGUACCGUUGUUUUGUUUUGUGUUGUAUUUCCCUUUAUUGGGGCCCAUGUAUAUCCUUUCUUAUUUAUAUACAAGCUUACCUUUUAAUAAAAAAAAUAAAAAUAAAAAAACAUGCACCAAAUAAUUUUAUAACACAAAUCCAGCUCAAAUACUAAGAGAUUGAAAAUAAAAAUCUCUGUUUUUAUUUA